rnacentral:lncRNA from 1 species
GAACUUUCAUCACAAAUUUGAGCAUGUGCAUCAUUACACAAAUCAAAGUUAUCCUCAUCUUCUCUGCGGAAAAAAAAUAAUGAAUUAGUGAAGUAGUGAUGCAUAAGAUUUCUUAUAGUUUCAAAAAAAGUAAAGAUCACCCACCUGAUCUCAUAUUGUCUGUGGCCACUUUCAAUGUGUCCUUGACUACUUAAUCCUUCAUCAUAUGAUUGAUACUCAUGUUCGUUAGGGCUUGCAUCAAGUGAUUGAUGGAUACUAGGGGUUGCAGUAUAUGCAAAAUGAGGAUGACUGAGCAUGGCAAAU